UACAGAGGUGGCAAGCGUUGUUCGGAAUUACUGGGCGUAAAGGGCGUGUAGGUGGCCAACUAAGUCCGACGUGAAAUCCCCAGGCUCAACCUGGGAACUGCGUCGGAUACUGGAUGGCUUGAAUUCGGGAGAGGGAUGCAGAAUUCCAGGUGUAGCGGUGAAAUGCGUAGAUAUCUGGAGGAAUACCGGUGGCGAAGGCGGCAUCCUGGACCGACAUUGACACUAAAGCGCGAAAGCCAGGGGAGCAAACGGG
rnacentral:rRNA from 1 species